rnacentral:rRNA from 1 species
CCUACGGGAGGCAGCAGUGGGGAAUAUUGCACAAUGGGCGAAAGCCUGAUGCAGCAACGCCGCGUGAGCGAUGAAGGCCUUCGGGUCGUAAAGCUCUGUUCUCAAGGAAGAUAAUGACGGUACUUGAGGAGGAAGCCACGGCUAACUACGUGCCAGCAGCCGCGGUAAUACGUAGGGGGCUAGCGUUAUCCGGAAUUACUGGGCGUAAAGGGUGCGUAGGUGGUUUCUUAGGUCAGAGGUGAAAGGGUACGGCUCAACCGUAGUAAGCCGUUGAAACUGGGAAACUUGAGUGCAGGAGAGGAGAGUGGAAUUCGUAGUGUAGCGGUGAAAUGCGUAGAUAUUAGGAGGAACACCAGUUGCGAAGGCGGCUGUCUGGACUGUAACUGACGCUGAGGCACGAAAGCGUGGGGAGCGAACAGGAUUAGAUACCCGUGUAGUC